GACUGUGUAUGUAACUAUGUGUGUGACUGUCAUGUAUAUGUAGCUCUGUAGUUAAGUGUAUGUCUAUGUAUCUGUUUAUGAGUUUGGCAUGUGCAUAAGAUUGUAAGUGUAACUGUGUGUAUUCAUGUGUGUGAGUGUCUAGAAGUGUGACUAGAUAUUUGUGUGUGCUUGCAUGUGUGAGUGUCUAUGUGUGGCAGUGAAACUGCAGAUGUGUGUGGCUGUAUCUAUAUUUGUGUGUGUGUGCAUGUGUCUGAGUGUGUGUAAGUCCUAAAUAGCACUCACACUAUUUACAGUGGUCUGAAAACACCUCUCUGGGUGCUCCUUUGCACCUGGCCACUGGGGACACUGCCAAGUCAUGAUGCUGGACUUUGCUGACUUUCUUUUCCAUUCUUUCUGUUUUUCAAAUGUUGACCUUUAGACACAUUUCAGGACAGCACAUUCCUGUGGGAAAUCUGUGAGGUGGAAAAUCAAAAUUCUCCUGAUGACUGUUUAUAAAGAAUAACGGCUAGCUCAUGUCUUCAGUGUUUUAUAGAAGUGCUCACAUGUAAUCUAAACAAGAACUCUACAAGAGAGGUAUCCAGAGCCACAUUUUAUAGAUAAGGAAAUUGAGGCUCAGAGAGGACUAGAAAUUUGGCUAAGCUCCUGCAGCUGAGUUGGGGGCUGCAUCUGACAAGUGGCCGUGGUUUCAAGUCUCUGGAGUCCCAUUUUUUUCUCUUCCAUGGAGUUUGUUUGCUGCAGUUUGAGGAGCCGAGGCAUAUGAUAAAUACCAGGUGUCCUUAGAAGAAGAGGAGAUUGGGCCCCAGACACACAUGCACAGAAGAAAGACCACGUGAAGACAGAGGGAGAAGACGGCGAUCUACAAACCAAGGAAACAUCCUCAGAAUGAAACCAACCUUGCCAACCCCUGAUCCUAGACCUCCAGCCUCCACAACGGUCUUUGGACUCAGAUGGAAUUAUACCACGGGGUUUCCUGGGUCUCCAGCAUGCAGAUGGCAGAUUGUGGAACUUCUCAGCCUCCAAAAUCGAGUGAGCCAAUUCCCAUCAUAAAUCCCCUCUCCUGUGUCUAAAUAUGUCCUAUUGCUUCUCUUUCUCUGGAGAAUGCUGACUAAUACAGACAUAAUACAGCAGUCUUUGGGGAUGAUGUAUGAGUAUGUGGAGGAAGAACUAGACAUGAAGCAGAGUGUGCUUUCUUUAACAUAACUUUUUCAUUAAAAUAGUUGUAUGUGCUUCGUACAAAAACUUGGAAAAUACAGAAAUGUAAUGGAAAAAGGAAGAAGAAAAACUACCAUCCAUUAUUUUCUCUCCCUCCCUCCUCAAUCUCCAGGAGGAUUACAAUUAACCACAGUUUUCCCUUUAUUUUUCAGAGUUGGGAUUCUCCAGUAUGAAUAUUUUUGCUCUGAUUUUUAAAAUUAAUAUAGCUUACACUUUUCCCAAGACAUACUAAACUGCUCUCAAAUAUUUUAGUGGCUACAUCAUAUGUAAUUGAGUUAAUCUACUACAAUUUUGUUAAUCAUUUCCUUGUUGUUUGGAUGUUAAUUGUUAAUUUUUUCUUUUUUUUUUUUAGUUUUAAUGCUGUGUGAUCAUCUUAGUGCACCACACAUUUUCUGCAUUUUGAUUUUUUUCUUUUGUGGUGACUCCCGAAGAUAGAAUUUCUGAGCUAAAGGAUAUUUUAUUUUAUGUUCCUGCAUACUUUUGCCAAAUGGUUACAUACAAAGGAUGAAGCCUUUACAUUCCCACUGGCAGAAAAUGAGUACCCACAAGUGCCCCAAGUCUAUGGUAACCUGUCCUAUGGAGGGAAAUCUGAAAGCUCUUAGUGAGACCAG
rnacentral:lncRNA from 1 species